AGGGUUGAUAGGUUAAGAGCUGGUUGACUGGACGUUACCCACAGAAGAAGCACCGGCUAACUCCGUGCCAGCAGCCGCGGUAAUACGGAGGGUGCGAGCGUUAAUCGGAAUUACUGGGCGUAAAGGGUGCGUAGGUGGUUUGAUAAGUUAUCUGUGAAAGCCCUGGGCUCAACCUGGGAACUGCAGAUAAGACUGUUGGACUCGAGUAUAGGAGAGGGUAGUGGAAUUUCCGGUGUAGCGGUGAAAUGCGUAGAGAUCGGAAGGAACACCAGUGGCGAAGGCGGCUACCUGGCCUAAUACUGACACUGAGGCACGAAAGCGUGGGGAGCAAACAGGAUUAGAUACCCUGGUAGUCCACGCUGUAAACGAUGUCAACUAGCUGUUGG
rnacentral:rRNA from 1 species